CUGGUCAUUGUUCUGGCCAUGGAUGGGAUGAUGUCCUUCCAAACAUCCAGUUGGACUUUAGGCUCAAAGAAGAGCUCCAGUCUUCACCUUCACUUUGGACAUCAUCUCCCGGCUUCAGGCAGAUUCUUCAGCUUCCAUUGCAGCUCCAACACCCUCCUGAUAUGGACUCCCAUGAGACACUGCAGUGAGCUCCAGACCUUUGACUGGAAGCUUCAGACUCUAGUGUACAAACAAACCCUCUGCACUCUUCCACAUAUGACUCUGUGGUAGGCCACUGUAAGCCAAUCUUGUAAAUUCUUAUAUACUUGUGUAUCUUAUAUCUGUUUCUGUAAUAAACACUGACUGAUACAGAAAGUUCUUGCCUAUGUGUAUGUCUUCUAGUGUUUUAUUUAUUUUAUCUUGUAGCACAUUAAGUGUAUCUGUUUUUAAUAUUUAGAUCUUUGAUCCAUUUGAUUUUGGUUCAGUACAUGGACCUCAAUUCAAUCUUCUGCAUGAGGAUAGC
rnacentral:lncRNA from 1 species